rnacentral:sRNA from 1 species
UUCAAAACAGCCCUAGACUUAAUAGUAAAGGAAUUUAAGGCCUUCAGUGCCGCUUGACUAUCGACAUAUAUAUAUUCACCGGAUCGCUGACCUCAGUAUUCCUCGUAACCAGCAGGUAUGUGGCCUUUUUGACCGCAAAGAUUUCCGCCUGAAAUACGCUACAGUUGUUUCCAAGCUUGUAGGAUUCACGAACAUUAAGGGUAUCACAGAAGACACCAGCUCCCGUUCCACAGUCCAUCUUUGAGUAAUGUCUAUGUAUAAACA